GACGAACGCUGGCGGCGUGCUUAACACAUGCAAGUCGAACGGAAAGGCCCUGCUUUUGUGGUGUGCUCGAGUGGCGAACGGGUGAGUAACACGUGAGUAACCUGCCCUUGACUUUGGGAUAACUUCAGGAAACUGGGGCUAAUACCGGAUAGGAGCUCCUGCUGCAUGGUGGGGGUUGGAAAGUUUCGGCGGUUGGGGAUGGACUCGCGGCUUAUCAGCUUGUUGGUGGGGUAGUGGCUUACCAAGGCUUUGACGGGUAGCCGGCCUGAGAGGGUGACCGGCCACAUUGGGACUGAGAGACGGACCAGACUCCUACGGGAGGCAGCAGUGGGGAAUAUUGCACAAUGGGCGGAAGCCUGAUGCAGCAACGCCGCGUGCGGGAUGACGGCCUUCGGGUUGUAAACCGCUUUCGCCUGUGACGAAGCGUGAGUGACGGUAAUGGGUAAAGAAGCACCGGCUAGCUACGUG
rnacentral:rRNA from 1 species